CACUCUGCACCAUGGAGGAUCUUUUUGCACCACCUGCUAGCUGGCCUUUUUUUGUUAACUGGAGGUGCCAGGGAUUGAGCCUGUGACCUUCUGCAUGCAAAGCAUGUGCUGUAGCCCUGAGCUAUACAGUCCCUCCCCAGCAAACUGUUCCAGGCAGGGCCCUUCUCUUACUUACCGUUUGCAGAUUGAUCACAAUUUGUUUCCUAAGGGAUUUUGGUUCGGAUGAAAUGCUCAUCUUUUCCCACACCCUCCACCCUGGCUGCUUCAGAUCCACAGAAAGGGGGCUUUUCCUUCACAGCUGCCAAGUCGUGACUCCAGCACAUCUACCUGCCUGCCAGUCUGCAGCCACAGUUCUGCUCCACGGAGAUCCUUCCUCACAGGCCGACUUACAGGUGCAACAGAGUCCGUGGGCUCAGAUGCAACGCUAUGGACUUUCCUGCAACAGGCGUUCCCCCUUCAUAUGCCGAGCCCCUUGUCUCCUUCCCACCCAAUAGCACAUCCACAAACCUGCGCAUACAGUGGUACAACAAUGGAACCAAUGACCUAGGGAGGCGGUGGGCUCUCCAACACUGGAGGCAUUCAAGAGGCAGCUGAACAGCCACUUGUCAGGCUGUGCAUUUUUGUGAACACUGGUUGGAGAACAGCACCGAAUUUGGCUAAGUGCACAUUUGAAAGGAUGGCAGUGUUUCGGGUCUCAUAUUGUUUCGCAAAGUCUGAAUUGGAUCGUUUGGGUUUUAAAUGUGAACUGAAUCAAAUUUCUCCUCCAACUAUCCCUACUUCUGAGUAAGCAAUACAUACAUUUGGGCAACAAGAAAACCUUACCUUUGUUGUUCACAGUGUGUGUUUUUCAUAAACCACUCUGGUUAAUCUGCCCCAUGAUUUCAUUGUAUUUGGAGGUCACAGCGUUGGCUCUCCUCGUCAGCUGGGUGAGGGCAUGGUGCAAAUUGGA